UAAAAGUCAGGAAGAUGGCACAACCCCCACCUCAAAUUUCCCCAUGACGGGGGCUCAAGGACGGGCUCAGAAUGCCCUCACCUCCUCACGUGUCCCACCAAACAAGUGAGUCUGCUGAUGGCCCAGUUGACAUCAAAGUGCCUCGGACCUGGGCACUGGGAUGGUCUCGUGUUGCCGCAUCUGCCCAUCUGCUCUUGACUUUUCUUAUCUCCAAAAGAAGGAGAGAGGCCUCCAGGAUCUCCAGCAUUCCAUCGAAGCAAGAUCUCGCUGUAAGUCUGGGGUUCCAGAGUCUCUGCAGAAGACAGUUGGGGAUGGGGGCAGUGCCCACGGCUCCCUCUGCGGUUCUGAAUGGUGCCCCGUGACUCCACUCCCAGUCACCGCCCGGCCGGCGCUCCGGUUCAGCCGAGGUCUGGGCGUGGCAGGCCAACCCGCUGCCCUGACCGAGGUAUACCCAGGGAGACGCGGGUGCUGUUUACACAGGCCCGGAGCUGGGGCCUGCCUCGCCCUGGCCCGAGCCUCUUACUGCUCUGCGAACUGGAAUUCCCCAAAUUUUC
ensembl:lncRNA